UACGGAGGGUGCAAGCGUUAUCCGGAUUCACUGGGUUUAAAGGGUGCGUAGGCGGGUAAGUAAGUCAGUGGUGAAAUCUCCGGGCUUAACUCGGAAACUGCCGUUGAUACUAUUUAUCUUGAAUAUCAUGGAGGUAAGCGGAAUAUGUCAUGUAGCGGUGAAAUGCUUAGAUAUGACAUAGAACACCGAUAGCGAAGGCAGCUUACUACAUGUUAAUUGACGCUGAGGCACGAAGGCGUGGGGAGCAAACAGG
rnacentral:rRNA from 1 species